AGAGUUUGAUCAUGGCUCAGAGCGAANNNUGGCGGCGUGCUUAACACAUGCAAGUCGAGUGCGCAGUUUCCUGUAGCAAUACAGGGGAUGGGCGCACGGCGCACGGGUGCGUAACACGUGGGUAACCUGCCCUCUGAUGGGGGAUAACCCCGCGAAAGCGGGGCUAAUACCGCAUGACAUUCCGAGAAUCUCGGUUCUUGGAUUCAAAGCCCGCAAGGGCGUCGGAGGAGGGGCCCGCGCCCGAUUAGCUUGUUGGUGAGGUAACGGCUCACCAAGGCUGUGAUCGGUAGCCGGUCUGAGAGGACGACCGGCCACACUGGAACUGAGACACGGUCCAGACUCCUACGGGAGGCAGCAGUGGGGAAUCUUGCGCAAUGGGCGAAAGCCUGACGCAGCGACGCCGCGUGGGGGAUGAAGCCUUCGGGGUGUAAACCCCUUUCGACCCGGACGAAUGGCCCGCAAGGGAGUUGACGGUACGGGUAGAAGAAGCCCCGGCUAACUACGUGCCAGCAGCCGCGGUAAAACGUAGGGGGCCAGCGUUGCUCGGAAUUACUGGGCGUAAAGGGUCCGUAGGCGGUGUGGCAAGUCGGGAGUGAAAUCUCAUGGCUUAACUGUGAGACUGCUUCCGAAACUGCUGUGCUCGAGUGCGGGAGAGGCGAGUGGAAUUGCCGGUGUAGCGGUGAAAUGCGUAGAUAUCGGCAGGAACACCCGUGGCGAAGGCGGCUCGCUGGACCGCAACUGACGCUGAGGGACGAAAGCUAGGGGAGCAAACAGGAUUAGAUACCCUAGUAGUCC
rnacentral:rRNA from 1 species